rnacentral:lncRNA from 1 species
AUGGUUGUCGUACCCAUGGGGAAGGUGACAGGGGAGGAAAACAGAUUGCUCUGAGCUGUGUCCAGGAACUGCUGCCAGGUGACUGUCUUGCAUGGCUAGGACAGAAGUCGGUCCUAGGCCCCCCAGGCUCUGACCUUCUUUCCCAGGAUGAGGUGGGGCCACCAUUUGCCCAGGGCCUCUUGGGGCUCUGGUUUUAGAAGAGCACUCCAGCGACCAGGGCCUUUAUACGCCACCACGGAAGCUCGGUAGAUAGCGCUCCCCCACCCGGGAGGCAUGGACGGCUGUUCCCCAGCGCCUCUGCAACUGAAGCUAUACAGCGGCACCGCCGGAACCUGGCUGAGUGGUUCAGCCGGCUGCCCAGGGAGGAGCGCCAGUUUGGCCCAACCUUUGCCCUAGACACGGUCCACGUUGACCCUGUGAUCCGCGAGAGUACCCCUGAUGAGCUACUUCGCCCACCCGCGGAGCUGGCCCUGGAGCAUCAGCCACCCCAGGCCGGGCUCCCCCCACUGGCCUUGUCUCAGCUCUUUAACCCG